rnacentral:rRNA from 1 species
UACGUAGGGAGCGAGCGUUAUCCGGAAUUAUUGGGCGUAAAGGGUGCGUAGACGGGAAUACAAGUUAGUUGUGAAAUCCCUCGGCUUAACUGAGGAACUGCAACUAAAACUAUAUUUCUUGAGUGCAGGAGAGGUAAGUGGAAUUCCUAGUGUAGCGGUGAAAUGCGUAGAUAUUAGGAGGAACACCAGUGGCGAAGGCGACUUACUGGACUGUAACUGACGUUGAGGCACGAAAGUGUGGGGAGCAAACAGG